UACGAAGGGGGCUAGCGUUGCUCGGAAUCACUGGGCGUAAAGCGCACGUAGGCGGAUUGCUAAGUCAGGGGUGAAAUCCUGGAGCUCAACUCCAGAACUGCCCUUGAUACUGGCGGUCUCGAGUCCGGGAGAGGUGAGUGGAACUGCGAGUGUAGAGGUGAAAUUCGUAGAUAUUCGCAAGAACACCAGUGGCGAAGGCGGCUCACUGGCCCGGUACUGACGCUGAGGUGCGAAAGCGUGGGGAGUAAACAGG
rnacentral:rRNA from 1 species